rnacentral:snRNA from 1 species
AGAGAAUCGCAUGAACCCGGGAGGUGGAGGUUGCAGUGAGCCGAGAUCAUGCCAGCUGCAUUCCAGCCUGGGCAACAGAG